GAUGAACGCUGGCGGCGUGCCUAAUACAUGCAAGUCGAGCGAACGGACGAGAAUCUUGCUUCUCUGAUGUUAGCGGCGGACGGGUGAGUAACACGUGGAUAACCUACCUAUAAGACUGGGAUAACUUCGGGAAACCGGAGCUAAUACCGGAUAAUAUUUUGAAGCGCAUGGUUCAAAAGUGUAAGACGGUCUUGCUGUCACUUAUAGGUGUAUCCGCGCUGCAGUAGAUAGUUGGUAAGGUAACGGCUUACCAAGGAAACGAGGCAUAGCCGACGUGAGAGGGUGGUCGGCCAGACUGGAACUGCGACAACGUCCAGACUCCUACGCGAGGCAGCAGUAGGGAAGCUGCCGCAGUGGGCGAAAGCCUGACGGAGCAACGCGGCGUGAGUGAUGAAGCUCUUCGGAUCGUAAAACUCUGUUAGUAGGGAAGAACAUAUGUGUAAGUAACUGUGCACAUCUUGACGGUACCUAAUCAGAAAGCCACGGCUAACUACGUG
rnacentral:rRNA from 1 species